AGUCUGCAAAAACUAGUGAAACUUUGCAAAGUAAUGAGGAGAUGGAAAAUACAAAAAAGUUUCUAGCUUUGACUGCUGCAUCAGAAGAAACUAUCGAUCCUUCUCGCUAUGAGCAUGAAGACACCUUUUUCUCAGUGUUUCACACUCAAGUCCCUCCAGAAGAAUAUGAAAACCGUAUACAGAAUGUCAAUCAAGAUUUUACCUAUGAUGUGGGAGGAAACGAGUCAUUGAUCAAAGCAGAAAAGAAACCUUUUUCAGAUACAGAAAAGACUGAGCUCAGGGGUAAACACAGCCAGGAUUUUAUUAUGCGAAACAUUGAGGUAUGUACUUAGAAAUUUAGAAAUCAGAAUGUGGGAUUAAAUGAGUUAUGAAAAUGAAAAUAGUUGUGUUCAC